rnacentral:rRNA from 1 species
AGAGUUUGAUCCUGGCUCAGAACGAACGCUGGCGGCGUGCCUAAUACAUGCAAGUCGAACGAGAAUUCCUGACUUCGGUUGGGAUAGUAAAGUGGCGAACGGGUGAGUAACACGUGGAUAACCUGCCUGUGCAACCGGAAUAACCCUCCGAAAGGGGGCUUAAUACCGGAUAAAAUCCAGAAGCGGCAUCGCUUUGGGAUCAAAGACGGGGCAACCUGUCGUGUACAGAUGGAUCCGCGCCCCAUUAGCUAGUUGGCGGGGUAACGGCCCACCAAGGCUGAGAUGGGUAGCCGGCCUGAGAGGGUGAACGGCCACACUGGGACUGAGAUACGGCCCAGACUCCUACGGGAGGCAGCAGUAGGGAAUAUUGCGCAAUGGACGAAAGUCUGACGCAGCAACGCCGCGUGGGUGAUGACGCUUCUUCGGAGUGUAAAACCCUGUCAGUGGGGACGAACCGCAUGAGUGAGUAACUGCUUCAUGCCUGACGGUACCCACAGAGGAAGUCCCGGCUAACUCCGUGCCAGCAGCCGCGGUAAUACGGGGGGGACAAGCGUUGUUCGGAUUUACUGGGCGUAAAGGGCGCGUAGGCGGGCCUUCAAGUCGGAUGUGAAAUCUGGUGGCUUAACCACCAGUCUGCAUACGAUACUGUUGGUCUUGAGUACGGGAGAGGAGAAUGGAAUUUCAGGUGUAGCGGUGAAAUGCGUAGAUAUCUGAAAGAACACCAGUAGCGAAGGCGGUUCUCUGGACCGAUACUGACGCUGAAGCGCGAAGGCUUGGGGAGCAAACAGGAUUAGAUACCCUGGUAGUCCAAGCGGUAAACUAUGGGUACUAGGUGUCGGGGGUAUCGACCCCCCCGGUGCCGCAGCUAACGCAAUAAGUACCCCGCCUGGGGAGUACGAUCGCAAGAUUGAAACUCAAAGGAAUUGACGGGGGCCCGCACAAGCGGUGGA